rnacentral:snRNA from 1 species
UUAGGGGCUGAAGAAAGAAAAGAAAAAUGGGUAUAGACAGUCAUCAAUAUUUUAAAAGUAAUAAAGUCUUUUUUUUUUUUUUUUUUUUUAACGAUCACCAGCUGCCCAGGUAUCAAAAAAUUAUGCUUCCGAAAUCUCUUGAUGUCGAUUCCGCACGUAGAGCAAUCUGGUUGCCCUACGUGUGCCACUCACGACAGAAGCCCUUUUU